rnacentral:rRNA from 1 species
UGCAGUCGAACGGCAGCACGGGUGCUUGCACCUGGUGGCGAGUGGCGUACGGGUGAGUAAUAUAUCGGAACGUACCUUAUUGUGGGGGAUAACGCAGCGAAAGCUGUGCUAAUACCGCAUAAUCCCUUAGGGGGAAAGCGGGGGACCGUAAGGCCUCGCGCAAUUAGAGCGGCCGAUACCUGAUUAGCUAGUUGGUGAGGUAAAGGCUCACCAAGGCAACGAUCAGUAGCUGGUCUGAGAGGACGAUCAGCCACACUGGGACUGAGACACGGCCCAGACUCCUACGGGAGGCAGCAGUGGGGAAUUUUGGACAAUGGGGGCAACCCUGAUCCAGCAAUGCCGCGUGAGUGAAGAAGGCCUUCGGGUUGUAAAGCUCUUUUGUCAGGGAAGAAACAGCAGCUCUAACACAGUCUGCGAAUGACGGUACCUGAAGAAUAAGCACCGGCUAACUACGUGCCAGCAGCCGCGGUAAUACGUAGGGUGCAAGCGUUAAUCGGAAUUACUGGGCGUAAAGCGUGCGCAGGCGGUUAUGUAAGACAGGCGUGAAAUCCCCGGGCUUAACCUGGGAAUUGCGCUUGUGACUGCAUAGCUAGAGUAUGUCAGAGGGGGGUAGAAUUCCACGUGUAGCAGUGAAAUGCGUAGAGAUGUGGAGGAAUACCAAUGGCGAAGGCAGCCCCCUGGGAUAAUACUGACGCUCAUGCACGAAAGCGUGGGGAGCAAACAGGAUUAGAUACCCUGGUAGUCCACGCCCUAAACGAUGCUGACUAGUUGUUCGGGAAUUUAUUCCUGAGUAACGUAGCUAACGCGUGAAGUCAGCCGCCUGGGGAGUACGGUCGCAAGAUUAAAACUCAAAGGAAUUGACGGGGACCCGCACA